rnacentral:rRNA from 1 species
UAGGGAAUCUUCGGCAAUGGGGGCAUCCCUGACCGAGCAACGCCGCGUGAGUGAAGAAGGUUUUCGAAUCGUAAAGCUCUGUUGUAAGUCAAGAACGGGUGUGAGAGUGGAAAGUUCACACUGUGACGGUAGCUUACCAGAAAGGGACGGCUAACUACGUGCCAGCAGCCGCGGUAAUACGUAGGUCCCGAGCGUUGUCCGGAUUUAUUGGGCGUAAAGCGAGCGCAGGCGGUUUGAUAAGUCUGAAGUUAAAGGCUGUGGCUCAACCAUAGUUCGCUUUGGAAACUGUCAAACUUGAGUGCAGAAGGGGAGAGUGGAAUUCCAUGUGUAGCGGUGAAAUGCGUAGAUAUAUGGAGGAACACCGGUGGCGAAAGCGGCUCUCUGGUCUGUAACUGACGCUGAGGCUCGAAAGCGUGGGGAGCGAACAGG